rnacentral:rRNA from 1 species
GACGAACGCUGGCGGCGUGCCUAAUACAUGCAAGUCAAACGCUUUUUCUUUCACCGGAGCUUGCUCCACCGAAAGAAAAAGAGUGGCGAACGGGUGAGUAACACGUGGGUAACCUGCCCAUCAGAAGGGGAUAACACUUGGAAACAGGUGCUAAUACCGUAUAACACUAUUUUCCGCAUGGAAGAAAGUGGAAAGGCGCUUUUGCGUCACUGAUGGAUGGACCCGCGGUGCAUUAGCUAGUUGGUGAGGUAACGGCUCACCAAGGCAACGAUGCAUAGCCGACCUGAGAGGGUGAUCGGCCACACUGGGACGGAGACACGGCCCAGACUCCUACGGGAGGUAGCAGUAGGGAAUCUUCGGCAAUGGACGAAAGUCUGACCGAGCAACGCCGCGUGAGUGAAGAAGGUUUUCGGAUCGUAAAACUCUGUUGUUAGAGAAGAACAAGGAUGAGAGUAAAACGUUCAUCCCUUGACGGUAUCUAACCAGAAAGCCACGGCUAACUACGUGCCAGCCGCCGCAGUAA